rnacentral:rRNA from 1 species
GAUGAACGCUGGCGGCGUGCCUAAUACAUGCAAGUCGAGCGAAUGGAUUAAGAGCUUGCUCUUAUGAAGUUAGCGGCGGACGGGUGAGUAACACGUGAGUAACCUGCCCAUAAGACUGGGAUAACUCCGGGAAACCGGGGCUAAUACCGGAUAAAAUUUUGAACCGCAUGGUUCGAAAUUGAAAGGCGGCUUCGGCUGUCACUUAUGGAUGGACCCGCGUCGCAUUAGCUAGUUGGUGAGGUAACGGCUCACCAAGGCAACGAUGCGUAGCCGACCUGAGAGGGUGAUCGGCCACACUGGGACUGAGACACGGCCCAGACUCCUACGGGAGGCAGCAGUAGGGAAUCUUCCGCAAUGGACGAAAGUCUGACGGAGCAACGCCGCGUGAGUGAUGAAGGCUUUCGGGUCGUAAAACUCUGUUGUUAGGGAAGAACAAGUGCUAGUUGAAUAAGCUGGCACCUUGACGGUACCUAACCAGAAAGCCACGGCUAACUACGUGCCAGCCGCCGCGGUAA